AAGACGAACGCUGGCGGCGUGCUUAACACAUGCAAGUCGAGCGGAAAGGCCCUUCGGGGUACUCGAGCGGCGAACGGGUGAGUAACACGUGAGCAACCUGCCCUUAGCUCCGGGAUAGCUCCGGGAAACCGGAAUUAAUACCGGAUACGACCACGGCCGACAUCUGCUGUGGUGGAAAGGAUUCCGGCUAAGGAUGGGCUCGCGGCCUAUCAGCUAGUUGGUGGAGUAACGGCCCACCAAGGCGACGACGGGUA
rnacentral:rRNA from 1 species